CCAUUUUGUAGAAGAAGCGACUGAGUUUCAGUGAAUUUACCAUCUGACUCAAAAUCGACAGCCAGUGUCUGAAUCGGGACUCAAAGCCAAACCUGCCAGGAGUGUUGCAUGAGGGUCAGUGAAGUCAUAGCCCAAAGAACUCAAGCAGCAAAAUCACGUGGACUUCCUGUUUAAAACCCAGAAUCCCGGACCAGUCUCAGACCUAAAGAAUCAGAAAGUGGAGUUUCAGACGUGAGAAGCAUCCGUAUCUGUGGGGAACAGCCCACACCCUCCCACCGUGUCAUCCUGAGGCAGACUGAAGUCUGAGGACCACUUUGCUUCUGUCUAUAACAAGACUCAGCUACAAGCCACCAAGAAAGUUCCAGAAGGCCAGGAAGACAAGUUCAUGUGGCAAGUUUCAUCCCCCACAUUCCAUCUUCGCUUCAGUCCUAGACUGGGAGAAUGCAGAUGUGCAGGAAAAUGUAACUUACUCUGUUGUCUAUAACUGCUUUCAUCUCGCCUUCCAGCCUCUAGUCCUGUGAUGGCAGAAACGCUGAUUUUUCCAAUGGAGUUGCUCUGUGGCAGGCAGUGGGAGCCUCCAUGCUGAGCCUGGAGAAGCAUCGAAUGAGGAUCCAGUCCAGAGACUUGACCCUGGGACUUGAGGGACCCUUCCCUUCCUCUCCGCCAGGACUCGGGUCCCCAGCCUGAAUGUCCUCCCUUCCUCUGCGGCGGGCACCGCCCUCCUUCCUACCUUAUCAUCGACUCGACAAUCAGUCC
rnacentral:lncRNA from 1 species